rnacentral:ribozyme from 1 species
AGCAAUACAUUGAUGAUACGGGGGUGGAUCCGAAGCCUCUAGAAGGUUAACAUAGGCUCUCCAUCCUCUACUCCUACUCAAUACGUCACCGUCGUACAGAACGGUGACAUGUUUCUCAAUUAUCCAAGCUUGGGUACACGAGGAAACCCAACCCCUUGGGCGGAUGGCUUGCAUGGCUUAAUUGAGAGAA